rnacentral:rRNA from 1 species
CAGCAGCCGCGGGAACACGUAGGGUGCAAGCGUUAAUCGGAAUUACUGGGCGUAAAGCGUGCGCAGGCGGUUCUAUAAGACAGAUGUGAAAUCCCCGGGCUCAACCUGGGAACUGCAUUUGUGACUGUAGAGCUGGAGUGCGGCAGAGGGGGAUGGAAUUCCGCGUGUAGCAGUGAAAUGCGUAGAUAUGCGGAGGAACACCGAUGGCGAAGGCAAUCCCCUGGGCCUGCACUGACGCUCAUGCACGAAAGCGUGGGGAGCAAACAGGAUUAGAUACCCCGGUAGUCCCUGUCUCUUAUAC